rnacentral:sRNA from 1 species
UGUUGUUCGUGCUGCGGAGUAACGUUA